ACUCCUACGGGAGGCAGCAGUAGGGAAUCUUCGGCAAUGGACGAAAGUCUGACCGAGCAACGCCGCGUGAGUGAAGAAGGUUUUCGGAUCGUAAAACUCUGUUGUUAGAGAAGAACAAGGAUGAGAGUAACUGUUCAUCCCUUGACGGUUGGGCCG
rnacentral:rRNA from 1 species